rnacentral:lncRNA from 8 species
AUGGAGAUAGAGUCAGCCCUCACCUCCAGCAAGACGGCUUUACUACAGACCGUCCCAUCAGGUUGCAUUGUAUACAGUGGAGAGUGCAAUGUCACCCCAGUUAAUGAGACAAAAGUUUGUGCUGGCGUCGACAGCACUGCUCUACAGGGUCACCUUGACAACGGGCAGAUCAGCGGAGUCCUCUGUGAUUUCAGCGUCGAUGUUUACGCUUGUGGCUCGCUGUCUGUGUUGACAUCAGAUAACUUGGUGAGCCUGUUGAAGUGUAAGCUGUCUGGAAACACCAGCCACUCAGCACAGAUCUGGAAACUGUUCUUCUCUAAGGUCUCAGUGGUUCUGGACUCAGCCCUGGAUCUCUUCUCCAACACCACACUAGACCCCAGCUCUCCAGCAGUGUCCCAGGCCCUGGAUGCUAUAAGAGAAGUAAGGCUGGACAGCUUCAGCCUGGCUAGUCUCAGAGAUCAGAAAAUCAUCAACCUCUGGUUCAACACCAGACUCCGUCCCUUCCUACCUGCCGUCUCCACUGACUUCCUGUCCUGCCUCAGCACCAAGAACUUCAGCUGCUCCAACUACCAGACCAUCGUUCAGAUCCUGAGCAGCCACCACUCAGCCAUGGACCAGUCCAGACAGAUAUCAGUCUACACUACCUUCAUAGAGGUCUUUCUCUCCAGGAACAACACAGCAGACCCCAGCUGUAGCUCUGACACCCUGAACAGUGAAGACUGGCUGCUGAAGAACUUCAGAGGAUUCUCUGCCUUCGCCUCCUUCAAGGACAUGCAGAGACUACUGACCACCUUCUCUGUGAUGGAGGCCCUGCCCCAGCUAACAGUGAGACAGUUAGCAGAGGUGUCCUCUAGUCCAGACCAGCUCAGCUCUGCUGCAGACGUCACCAUGCUGAUGAACUACGUACCCAACAUCCUCUUCACUGACUUCUUCAAUGACUUCUCUCUAGCCAUCACCGGUCAAGAGUCUAAGUUCCCAGUGGCGGUACGUUCAGCCAUGCUCCAGCAGGUGUUUGAACGCGGGAACCUAUCAGACCGCUCUGUUAGCGACCAGGAAGUACUCACCUGGCUUCAGAGCAGGCUCCGCCCACUGCUGAUCAACCUGUCCCCGCUCCACGUCGCCCCCCUCUUCAGUGUGGUCGCACAGAGGAACUGCAACAUCGGACAGCAGCUGGUGGAGGUGCUGAACGCCACCCUCCCUACACUUCAGGACAACACACAGGGAAACAUCUACGAUCAAAUCACCCUCUCCCUCCAAGGCUCCUCCCCACUCCGUUGCUAUGGCGCAAACUACAACCACAGUUUCUAUGGUUACCUGGAGAGUUCCUUCCUGAGUUUCGGCUUCCCCAACCUGACCACCUUCCUCUCCCUCAUACCCCAUAGCCAGAUGGAACAGCUGGUGAACUCUCUGCCUGUCUCUGACCUGGGUCGUUUCCUGCGCCGCCCCAACGUUGUCGACGACGACACAAAGCUCUGCCAACUCUACAGCAACUACGCCAAGACCCCACUGUUCCUGGGGACUGAGAGUAUCCCUGAGUCAGUGAGGCGUCCCACACUGCCGUGUGUCUGGCCCCAGGCUCUCAGCAGCAGUCAGAGGUCAGAGGUCAACGCCUGGUUUGACCUGAGGCUGAAGAACUACCUGCCCUUCCUCACCAGGAGCCUGGUGACCUCCGCCGCUGUCAAGACCGCCCCUUGUCUGGCCUUCCAGAAACUCAUCUCAAUUCUGGGGAGUUAUAACUACAGCGCUGCAGACUUUGUGGAGAGAGAUGUGUACAGGGAGACCAUCAAGACGUAUCUCACCUCAGCCUCGGCUCCUAAGUGUUACAAUGCCAGUGAUCCAGAGCUCAGCUCAACUGCCUGGUUUGCUGAGAACAUCGGACUCUUCAUCACUUAUCUUACCUUGGAAGACCUCAACACCUUCGGAUCAGCACAGGUACUGUACUGUGGUGUAUAGACACACACACACACACACACACACACACACACACACACACACACACACACACACACACACAGCUUCUACUUGAGCAUCAUUGAAGAGGAUGAAUUUCCAAUUAUCAAAUUGCUAAUUGAGUUUACUUCCUGAAUUGACUGCUUUCAAUUCAAACUGGCACAAACCUGGAAUGGAUGGCUUGUUAUUAAUCCCUGUGUGUGUUGUCUCCCUCCUCCUCCUCUUCCUCCUCCCCUUCCUCCUCCUCCUCCUCUUCCUCCUCCUCUUCUUCCCCUUCCUCCACCUCCUCAUCUUCCUCCUCUCCUUCUUCCCCGUCAUCCACCUCCUCCUCCUCACCUUCUUCCUCCUCCUCCUCCUCUUCCUCCUCUUCUUCCCCUUCCUCCACCUCCUCCUCCUCCACUUCCUCCUCCUCCUCUUCCUCAUCCUCCUGCUCACCUUCCUCACCUCCUCCUCCUCUUCCUCCUCUUCCUCCCCUUCCUCCUCCUCCUCCUCUCCCUCCUCCCCCUCUUCUUCCCCUUCCUCCACCUCAUCUUCCUCCUCCUCCACCUCCUCCUCCUCCUCCCCC